UACGUAGGGUGCGAGCGUUGCCCGGAUUUAUUGGGCGUAAAGGGCGCGUAGGCGGCUCGGCACGUCCGUUGUGAAAUCGCCCGGCUCAACUGGGCGGGGUCAGCGGAUACGGUCGAGCUUGAGCAAGCUAGGGGGCAAGUGGAAUUCCCGGUGUAGUGGUGGAAUGCGUAGAUAUCGGGAGGAACACCAGUGGCGAAGGCGGUUGCCUGGAGCUUUGCUGACGCUGAGGCGCGAAAGCGUGGGGAGCGAUCCGG
rnacentral:rRNA from 1 species